AUUGAACGCUGGCGGAAUGCUUUACACAUGCAAGUCGAACGGCAGCACGGACUUCGGUCUGGUGGCGAGUGGCGAACGGGUGAGUAAUAUAUCGGAACGUGCCCAGUCGUGGGGGAUAACGUAGUGAAAAUUACGCUAAUACCGCAUACGAUCUAUGGAUGAAAGCGGGGGAUCGCAAGACCUCGCGCGAUUGGAGCGGCCGAUAUCAGAUUAGGUAGUUGGUGAGGUAAAGGCUCACCAAGCCAACGAUCUGUAGCUGGUCUGAGAGGACGACCAGCCACACUGGAACUGAGACACGGUCCAGACUCCUACGGGAGGCAGCAGUGGGGAAUUUUGGACAAUGGACGUAAGUCUGAUCCAGCCAUUCCGCGUGCAGGACGAAGGCCUUCGGGUUGUAAACUGCUUUUGUACGGAACGAAAAGGUCUCUAUUAAUACUAGGGGCUCAUGACGGUACCGUAAGAAUAAGCACCGGCUAACUACGUGCCAGCAGCCGCAGUAA
rnacentral:rRNA from 1 species